rnacentral:rRNA from 1 species
UACGUAGGGGGCAAGCGUUGUCCGGAUUUAUUGGGCGUAAAACGCUCGUAGGUGGCUACGUCAAGUCGGACGUGAAAUCUCCCGGCUUAACUGGGAGAGGUCGCUCGAUACUGGCGAGCUCGAGGCAGGUAGGGGGAAGCGGAAUUCCCGGUGUAGUGGUGGAAUGCGUAGAUAUCGGGAGGAACACCAGUGGCGAAGGCGACUACCUGGCCUGUUUCUUGACGCUGAGGCGCGAAAGCUAGGGGAGCAAACGGG